GAUGAACGCUGGCGGCGUGCCUAAUACAUGCAAGUCGAGCGAACAGACGAGGAGCUUGCUCCUCUGACGUUAGCGGCGGACGGGUGAGUAACACGUGGAUAACCUACCUAUAAGACUGGGACAACUUCGGGAAACCGGAGCUAAUACCGGAUAAUAUAUUGAACCGCAUGGUUCAAUAGUGAAAGACGGUUUUGCUGUCACUUAUAGAUGGAUCCGCGCCGCAUUAGCUAGUUGGUAAGGUAACGGCUUACCAAGGCAACGAUGCGUAGCCGACCUGAGAGGGUGAUCGGCCACACUGGAACUGAGACACGGUCCAGACUCCUACGGGAGGCAGCAGUAGGGAAUCUUCCGCAAUGGGCGAAAGCCUGACGGAGCAACGCCGCGUGAGUGAUGAAGGUCUUCGGAUCGUAAAACUCUGUUAUUAGGGAAGAACAAAUGUGUAAGUAACUAUGCACGUCUUGACGGUACCUAAUCAGAAAGCCGCGGCUAACUACG
rnacentral:rRNA from 1 species